AUACGGAGGGUGCAAGCGUUACUCGGAAUCACUGGGCGUAAAGCGCGCGCAGGCGGCUUGAUAAGUUGGAUGUGAAAGCCUACGGCUCAACCGUAGAACUGCAUCCAAAACUGUCAAGCUAGAGUCUGGGAGGGGAAGAUGGAAUUAGUUGUGUAGGGGUAAAAUCCGUAGAGAUAACUAGGAAUACCAAAAGCGAAGGCGAUCUUCUGGAACAGUACUGACGCUGAGGCGCGAAAGCGUGGGGAGCGAACAGGAUUAGAUACCCCGGUAGUCC
rnacentral:rRNA from 1 species